GAGAGAGGCUCGCAAGCAGCAGAGACUGCUAAUCUUUGUCACUCAGGUUGAACCCCUGGGCUCACUCG
rnacentral:tRNA from 1 species